rnacentral:rRNA from 1 species
UACGAAGGGGGCGAGCGUUGUUCGGAAUUACUGGGCGUAAAGGGCGCGCAGGCGGCCCUUGAAGUCAGGCGUGAAAGCCCCGGGCUCAACCUGGGAGGUGCGCUUGAUACUCGAGGGCUUGAGUGCGGGAGAGGAGAGUGGAAUUCCCAGUGUAGAGGUGAAAUUCGUAGAUAUUGGGAAGAACACCGGUGGCGAAGGCGGCUCUCUGGACCGUAACUGACGCUGAGGCGCGAAAGCGUGGGGAGCAAACAGGAUUAGAUACCCUGGUAGUCCACGCUGUAAACGAUGUGCGCUAGACGUUGGAGGACCUAGUCUUCCGGUGUCGCAGCUAACGCGAUAAGCGCACCGCCUGGGGAGUACGGCCGCAAGGUUAAA